UACGUAGGGUGCAAGCGUUGUCCGGAAUUAUUGGGCGUAAAGGGCUCGUAGGUGGCCAACUAAGUCAUACGUGAAAUCCCUCGGCUCAACCGAGGAACUGCGCUCUAAACUACCGUGCUUGAGGGAGGUAGAGGUGAGCGGAACUUAGGGUGGAGCGGUGAAAUGCGUUGAUAUCCUAAGGAACACCGGUGGCGAAAGCGGCUCACUGGAUCUCUUCUGACGCUGAGGCACGAAAGCUAGGGUAGCGAACGGG
rnacentral:rRNA from 1 species